rnacentral:rRNA from 1 species
AUUACCGAGUUUUCGAGCUCCGGCUCGACUCUCCCACCCUUUGUGAACGUACCUCUGUUGCUUUGGCGGCUCCGGCCGCCAAAGGACCUUCAAACUCCAGUCAGUAAACGCAGACGUCUGAUAAACAAGUUAAUAAACUAAAACUUUCAACAACGGAUCUCUUGGUUCUGGCAUCGAUGAAGAACGCAGCGAAAUGCGAUAAGUAAUGUGAAUUGCAGAAUUCAGUGAAUCAUCGAAUCUUUGAACGCACAUUGCGCCCCUUGGUAUUCCGGGGGGCAUGCCUGUUCGAGCGUCAUUACAACCCUCAAGCUCUGCUUGGAAUUGGGCACCGUCCUCACUGCGGACGCGCCUCAAAGACCUCGGCGGUGGCUGUUCAGCCCUCAAGCGUAGUAGAAUACACCUCGCUUUGGAGCGGUUGGCGUCGCCCGCCGGACGAACCUUCUGAACUUUUCUCAAGGUGACCUCGGAUCAGGUAGGGAACCCCA